GAUGAACGCUGGCGGCGUGCCUAAUACAUGCAAGUAGAACGCUGAAGGAAGGAGCUUGCUCUUUCCGGAUGAGUUGCGAACGGGUGAGUAACGCGUAUGUAACCUGCCUGGUAUCGGGGGAUAACUAUUGGAAACGAUAGCUAAUACCGCAUAACAGUAGAUGUUGCAUGAUAUCUACUUAAAAGGUGCAAUUGCACCACUACCAGAUGGACCUGCGUUGUAUUGGGUAGGUGGUGAGGUAACGGCGCAACAAGGCGACGAUACAUAGCCGAACUGAGUGGGUAGUCGGCCACCCUGGGACGGUGACCCGGCCCAGACUGCCACGGGAAGCAGCCGUAGGGCAACGUCGGGCAUCGGCGGAAGUCUGACCGAGCAACGCCGCGUGAGGGUAGAAGGUUUUCGGGUCGUAAAGGUCUGUUGUAAGGGAAGAACGAGUGUGAGAGUGGAAAGUUCCCACUGUGACGGUAUCUUACCAGAAAGGGCCGGCUAACUACGUG
rnacentral:rRNA from 1 species